rnacentral:rRNA from 1 species
AUUGAACGCUAGCGGGAUGCCUUACACAUGCAAGUCGAACGGAGUGGCGAACGGGUGAGUAAUGUAUCGGAACGUGCCCAGUAGCGGGGGAUAACUACGCGAAAGCGUAGCUAAUACCGCAUACUAUUGGAUCAGCCGAGGUCGGAUUAGCUAGUUGGUGGGGUAACGGCCUACCAAGGCGACGAUCCGUAGCUGGUUUGAGAGGAUGACCAGCCACACUGGGACUGAGACACGGCCCAGACUCCUACGGGAGGCAGCAGUGGGGAAUUGUGGACAAUGGGGGAAACCCUGAUCCAGCCAUGCCGCGUGUGCGAUGAAGGCCUUCGGGUUGUAAAGCACUUUAGGCAGGAAGGCGGUACCUGCAGAAUAAGCACCGGCUAACUACGUGCCAGCAGCCGCGGUAAUUC